rnacentral:rRNA from 1 species
AUGAAGCCAAAGCAGUGGCUUUCAAAAAUUGUUAUUGAGACUGGAAUCAUACACAUCAUGGAUAAUUUGCCAGAAGGGUCAAAGAAAGUUGUCAUGCCACUGAGGUUUUCUAUCAAUUUACAACAGGGUAUCCACAAUACGAAUGGGAUAAACAAGAAGUUUGAACACAAGAACCGUCUCGACAAGAAAGACUUGCUAUGGAGGAAGCAUUACCCAAAGCAGAGCAUCGAGCACUUCCAGAUUAUUGACAUCGAUGUACUGAAGCAGAUUAGCAACAAUGAGUGUGGUCUGUUUGCACUGCUUAAUGCCACUAAGUGGAACGGGAGCCUACUGCCCAACUAUGAGCCCAAGGAAGAUCUCAACCUCAGGAAGAAGCUGGCAUAUGAUUGGGUCACCAGCCCGCACAACUCUGCCCCAUGGAGGAAGCUGCUAAGAUAUGAAAAUGACUAG